AAUGCUAGGAAGUAUAUAAAGGAAGUGUGAUAGAGAGAGUCUGUUGUUAGCAGUGUUGUAAGGUUAGAGGAGCCCUUUCUGCAAAGGAGGCAUGUGACCUGAGACAAUCAGUCACUUGGGGUGUGUAUAAAAUGUAUGUACUGACUCCCUGAGUGUCUGCAUGGUUAGCACCUUAGUAAUAUUCCCCAGUGAGAUAAUGGUGAGAAGAAGUAAGUGGGCAUUUAUUAAUUGCUAUAUUAUAUUACUGUUGGUGUUUCUUAUGAUAGAACUUUUUACAAUCUCAUGAAAUAUUAUUGUCCCACCUUACAAAUAAGGAAACUGAUGAAACUGACAAAAGAUAGAUUAGCAAAACAAAAAGCGUAUUUAAUAACAUAUGGACAAAAGUUACCAAAACAUGUAGCUCAAAGGGGCAAACAGGCAUUCCAUUCUCACCCAUGAGUGCGUGUUUGUAUUUACAGUUGUGCUGUUUUUACACUGUCAGAGCAUACGGCACAUGUUAUAGGGUACUCUCUACCCUAUAUUCUGCUCAGUACAGAGCAUAAGGAGAUAACUAUCACAGCUUUAGGUUUUUUUUAAUUGUGUUAAUGUUGAAUCAAAACUUUCCUUUAGGUGUGCAUAUAAAAGGGAAUAAGAAAGGGAACCAACUAUGUUGAUAGAGGAAUAAUUCUUCAAAUGAAUGUUACAUUAAGAAAUUGUCAAUGAAACACUGCUGUUAAUAAUAUAAAAGGUUUUAUGUGUUAGAUUCCUCUGAAUAUAACUUUCACAUUUUGUCCUCUUUUGUGCUAAUAGAACAUUCUAGUAUGCCAGUAGAAAAAAAUAUCACUUUAGAAAGGCCUUCUAAUGUAAAUCUCACAUGCCAGUUCACAACAUCUGGGGAUUUGAAUGCAGUAAAUGUGACUUGGAAAAAAGAUGGUGAACAACUUGAGAAUAAUUAUCUUGUCAGUGCAACAGGAAGCACCUUGUAUACCCAAUACAGGUGAGUAUACAAAUUUUAACCUACCUUGCUCACCAAAAGUAGCUUAAUUCUAAAUAUUUUUGCUGACUGAGCAUUCUUUCCUCUGCAGCCACUUGAAUGUUAUGCUAAUAUUCUAAUUUGCAUAUUUACAGAGUUAUUUCUCUUUUUAAAUUUUUAUUAAUGGCUAAGUCUUUUCAUUUUCAUCAAGGUUUUGAGAACUAAGCCUAUAUUAAUAACUUGAAUUAUCUUUAGGUUCACCAUCAUUAAUAGCAAACAAAUGGGAAGUUAUUCUUGUUUCUUU
rnacentral:lncRNA from 1 species